rnacentral:rRNA from 1 species
UACGGGGGGAGCAAGCGUUGUUCGGAUUUACUGGGCGUAAAGGGCGCGUAGGCGGUCAGCACAAGUCAGUUGUGAAAUCUCCGGGCUUAACUCGGAAAGGUCAACUGAUACUGUGCGACUAGAGUGCGGAAGGGGCAACUGGAAUUCUCGGUGUAGCGGUGAAAUGCGUAGAUAUCGGGAGGAACACCAGUGGCGAAGGCGGCACUCUGGGCCGGUACUGACGCUGAGGAGCGAAAGCGUGGGGAGCGAACAGG